GCUCAAUGUAUGGUAUACAGCUUAAUGUACGGCAUACAGCUUAAUAUACGAUAUACAGCUUAAUGUAUGUUAUACAGCUUAAUAUACGGUAUACAGCUUAAUGUACGGCAUACAGCUUAAUGUAUAAUAUACAGCUUAAUUUAUGGUAUACAGCUUAAUGUACAAUAUACAGCUUAAUAUACGAUAUACAGCUUAAUGUACAAUAUACAGCUUAAUGUACG